CUGGACUUUAAUAACACAUUUUUGAAUGGGAAGCUCAGUGAGGAUAUCUUCAUGCAACAACCACCAAGCUCUGUUGGGAUGGAGAUUCACAAAUUCAAAAGUAGAUAUGUCCUGAAUUAUAUUUCAUUCAGCCAACUAUAUUAUUCUGCUUCUAGUCUAUGUAGACGAUGUUAUGUCACAGGCAAUGACUCUACCCUCAUAUCUCGACUUAUUCAGACACUUCAUAUUCAGUUUGUGCUAAAAGACCUCGAAACCUCGAAAUACUUCCUUGGCAUACAAGUUCACUAUCUAAACUUAGGGUUUCUUUUAAAUCAGUCCAAGUAUGUUGAAGUGCUUAAUCGCGUGAUAUGAUAUCGACUUGGUUAUGCCUGAUAUCUUGUUGUCUGUCAAACAUCCUCAACAAGGUGGCCUAUCACGUUACGAGGGAUUCACCUUCAAAUUCCUUGCCUCCCUCAUCUUCUUUUUAAUGAUCGUCGCCUUCAAGAUCCUCUUGUUGACCCUCACCAUCAACAUGCCCAUGGAAGGCUACAAUCAAUGCCCUAUGCAAAAUAGAUUUAGGAGGAGCAAUUUCCUCUUCCAGACCUAUCUCUACCCCAAAGUGGGGGAAAACAAGCAUACGGGCCAAAUACCUCAAUCCUAAGCUUUCCUUGCUCCCUGCGGAUCGACCCAGUUUUGCCAUUAAUACCAUCCAUCAUUAGUAGUAGUUCGUAUAGAUCCGUAUUUUCAAUGUAUUUGAUUGCAACAUUCAAUCCUAUCAGGGAUAUUCUGGGAGAAUACUUUAGAGCUUGAGGGUGAGAGCCAAGGAGCUUCAGGUGCAAUCUUGCGAUUGAGACAAGAACAAGCAUGCAAUGGCAAAACCCACCAUUCAACAGAACAAUGAAUAACAAGGAAUUUACCUGAAGGCAAAUAUAAAAACGUUAUAUGGGCAAUCGAUUUUCUACAUAUAGAUGAAUGCCUAUUCUAACUUGAGAACAACCGUCUUUAAGCUCGACUAUAUGAAUUACAUUCAGGAGAAGUGACUGUUAGUAAGUAUUCAAUCUUACAGACCACUGCCAACAAUUAGACAUUUUUAUUUUUCUAACUAGUGAGAGGGAAAUGAGAAAAAUGGAAAGCGUGUAUUUCAUUCUAGAAAACUCCAUAUAAGUACAUAUCUUGAAUCCAAAAAUAGAUUUCACAAUGUUAGCAACUAAUCCCACUAACUCCACAAGAAUAGGAACUUAGACUUGACUACAAUUAAAAAUAACUUCAAUUGUUUCCUAUAAACUAGGAAUUGACUAAACUAAUUUGCAGUUUUGAGUUACUAACAUUCUCCUCCUAACUCAAAUACUGCAAACACCUAACUUGCUCCUAAGAGCUUGAAAACGACUCACACAAAAUCCAAGUUUAGCAAGUGAUUAUCCAUCUUGCUAUACCAUGCCCUAGGCUUUCUUCAACCCAUAGAGAGCCUUCUUCAACAAAUAAACCUUUUGCUCUUGUCCUGGUAUGAUGAAUCCAUCUGGUUACUCAACAUAGAUCACUUCUUCUAACACACACUCCAUUUAGGAAUGUUGACUUCACAUCUAGCUGAUACACCUUCUAUCUAUGCUGGGCUGACACAACCACUAGCAACCUGAUUGUAUCCAUUCUUGCAACUGGUGCAAAAGUCUCCCAAAAAUCAAUUCCCCAUACUUGUGCAUACCCUUUUUGAUGAAAACGCCCCAACCUCUUGUGCCAUAACUUAGUGUCAUUUACUUGACACUUGAAAGCUAUCUACUCCUUUCUCGAGUGGAUCCAACGAGAAGCUCUUGUGCUGCAUUUUUAUUUUGAACAACUCAUUCCCAUUGGAAUCAGAAAUGAGGCACUUUCCUUCUUCAAACAACACUUUGAAUCCCUUCUCUACUAAUUGACCAACGCUUAACAAGUUUUGAUCAAUUUCAGGGACAAACAACACUUCAGUAAUCAACUUGGUUCCAGCACAGCUCUCUAUUGACACUGUGUCCUUCCCCUUUACUUCUAGAUACUCACCGUUUCCUACCUUCACCCUUGACUUGAAUGACUUGUCAAGAUCCUUGAACAACUCUUUGUCACUUGUCAUGUGAUUGGUACACCCACUAUCAACCAACCAACCAUCACAUUGAGUGACUGAUGAGAAACAAGUAGCUACAAAGAGUUGAUCUUCUUCUUUUUGUACUACAAUAUGUGCUCCUCCUUGCUAUUGAGUUUUUGCUUCCUUACAGAAUCGUUCAAUGUGCCCCAAUAAAUGACAUCUUCUACACUUCACAUUUGGCCUUCUCCAGCAUCUGAAAUGUGAAUGAUUCUGCUUCCCACAGUGCUUGCAUGUACUACCAACAUCCUUUGCAGCAAACUCUGAGCUACUGCUGCCACUUCCCCUCUCUCUUCCACCUUCUCCCUACUGCACUCUAGCUUUCAAUGCCCCCUCAAUGCUUCCUUCUUGUCUUAUCAACCUCCUCUGCUCUUGUGCUUGCAAAGCACUAACCACUUCUAUCACCUUGAGUUUUGAGAGGUCUUUAGUAUUUUCUAAGGAAGCAAUAGUUGUUUCAUAUCUCUCAGGUAUUGAAACUAGAAUCUUCUGAACCAAUCUAUUGUCAGAUAAAUUGGCUCCUAAUGCUCUUGCCUUGUUAGCAAUCCCAAUCAACUUAUUUGAGUACUCUUUAAUGGACUCAGAAUCCUUCAUUUGCAUUGUCUCGAAUUCUCGCACCAAGUUCAACACUUUCAUGCCUUUAAUCCUCUCAUCACCUUCAUACUCACUUUUGAGGAACUCCCAGAUCUCCUUUGUCGACUUCAAGGCCAUAAUUAUGUUGAAUAUGGCGGGAGACACAGCUGCAUAUAAGCAAGCUCGAGCUUUUGCCUUCUUGGUGACCCUCUCCUUGUGAGUCUUGAUCUAAUGUAUUGUUGGGUUAUCAGGAAGUGGAGCAAUCUCAUAGUCUUGCUCAAUUGCUUCUCAAUAAUCACAACCCUCCAUGUAGGCUUGCAUUCUGAUAGCCCAUGCCUGGUAGUUUUCACCAUCAAACACAAAUGGAGCCAAUGAAGAAAGACUGUUUGAUCCUAAUUCCAUCUCUAACAACUCUCACAGGUGUAACACUCAGUUUCUCUCGGAGAUAUUUCAUUGAUUCUCACUCACAUAUCCCUUAAGAAUUGAGGGCUUUGAUACCACUGUUGUUCUAACUAAUGAGAGGGGAAAUGAGAAAAAUGGGAAGUGUGUAUUUCAUUCUAGAAAACUCCAUAUAAAUACAUAUCUUGAAUCUAAAAAUAGAUUCCACAAUGUUAGCAACUAAUCCCACUAACUCCACAAGAAUAGGAACUUAGACUUGACUACAACUAAAAAUAACUUCAACUAUUUCCUAUAAACUAGAAAUUGACUCGACCAACUCAAAAACUAAUUUGCAGUUUUGAGUUACUAACAUUUUUCAAGGUUUUUGAUGUGUGUGUUGAAAAAUCUGCUUUGUUCAACAAGAUAAUUGAACAUAAGAGAAUAUUGAGGUUCCUUCCAAGUAAUGGGUUUGAUGAAGUAAACGGAAAACGACUAGACAACGACUAUAGCAUACUGAAAUAGAACUAGAUCCCGUCCCAUUAUGAAAUUUUUGGAGGGGAAGUAUCUAAGAAUCCAACACCAAGUUUGACUUUGAUUCGAUGUAGAAUCCAACUUGAGAUGUGUGUAGAUUUAUAUUAACUAAAAACAUUUUAAUUUUUUAGAUUAGUUUAAUUUAUCUUUUCAGUUAUUUGCCAAUCCAGAGAUCUUCCUAAUUGAGGAUAUCUCCUAGAUGAUAGCUAGAACUUUUGUAAGUAAAUUCCAACUAUAUUAUAAUUACUUGCAACUAAUUCUUAUCUUGAAUGAGAAUUAGUGUAUCAAUUUCAUCUCCGGAAUGAAAAAAAAUCGAUCCACAUAUUGAAAAAAAACUACAAACCCAAGAAAAUAAAGUUCCAAUUUAUAGAAUAUUAAUAUAAAGAGGAAUUAAAAAACAAAAUAUUGCACGUAAGAUUUGGAAAGGAAUAACCACGGCAAU